rnacentral:rRNA from 1 species
UACGAAGGGUGCAAACGUUGCUCGGAAUUAUUUGGCGUAAAGCGCACUUAGGCGGCAUUGCAAGUCGGAUGUGAAAUCUUAUGGCUUAACCAUAAAAGUGCAUCCGAAACUGCAGUGCUUGAGUACUUAAGAGGAUCGCGGAAUUCCCGGUGUAGAGGUGAAAUUCGUAGAUAUCGGGAGGAACACCAGUGGCGAAGGCGGCGAUCUGGGAAGAUACUGACGCUGAGGUGCGAAAGCGUGGGGAGCAAACAGG